AUAUUGGCGAGAGACCGAUAGCGCACAAGUAGAGUGAUCGAAAGAUGAAAAGCACUUUGGAAAGAGAGUUAAAAGCACGUGAAAUUGUUGAAAGGGAAGCGCUUGCAAUCAGACUUGUUUAAACUGUUCGGCCGGUCUUCUGACCGGUUUACUCAGUUUGGACAGGCCAGCAUCAGUUUCGGCGGCCGGAUAAAGGCUCUGGGAAUGUGGCCUCCACUUCGGUGGAGGUGUUAUAGCCCAGGGUGUAAUACGGCCAGCCGGGACUGAGGUCCGCGCUUCGGCUAGGAUGCUGGCGUAAUGGUUGUAAGCGACCCGUCUUGAAACACGGACC
rnacentral:rRNA from 1 species